ACUACGGGUGGCAGCAGUGGGGAAUAUUGCACAAUGGGGGGAACCCUGAUGCAGCGACGCCGCGUGAGUGAAGAAGUAUUUCGGUAUGUAAAGCUCUAUCAGCAGGGAAGAAAAUGACGGUACCUGACUAAGAAGCCCCGGCUAACUAGGUGCCAGCAGCCGCGGUAAUACGUAGGGGGCAAGCGUUAUCCGGAUUUACUGGGUGUAAAGGGAGCGCAGACGGCUGUGCAAGUCUGGAGUGAAAGGCGGGGGCCCAACCCCCGGACUGCUCUGGAAACUGUAAAGCUGGAGUGCAGGAGAGGUAAGCGGAAUUCCUAGUGUAGCGGUGAAAUGCGUAGAUAUUAGGAGGAACACCAGUGGCGAAGGCGGCUUACUGGACUGCAACUGACGUUGAGGCUCGAAAGCGUGGGGAGCAAACAGGAUUAGAUACCCGAGUAGUC
rnacentral:rRNA from 1 species